rnacentral:lncRNA from 1 species
GCAUUCGGCUGCCUUAGCACUCUGCGUCCUCGCACCGACCCUGGGGUCCUGUUUGUCCGGAGACAGCGUGGCACCAACCCAGCUGUGUGUGCUUUGGAGCUGGAUACUCCUAAACACGUUUGGGUUUGAACUCCAGCUCUGAUCCUGCCAGCGAGGAGCCUUAGAGCAAGUGACUUAACCUUCUGGGCCUCAGUUUCCCUCAUCUGAAAAUGGGCGUGAUCAAGUCACCUCCCAGGGAUAUUUUCGAGGAUGAGAGGGUCAUGUGGGGUCCCAAGUGAGGUAAAGGAAACUGCUGCGUCAUUCAUCGAGCACCUACUGUGUUCAGGCAUCCUGCUGGGUGCAGCGCACCUGGUAAGUAACUGAGAUUGUGAGUCAUUUGGUCUUUUGGUUGAGUCAUUGAGGAAGAGAUUGAGUGACUGGCCCAGGGUCACACAG